rnacentral:lncRNA from 1 species
UAGACAGAACACUCCAUUCAUAAAACUCAAUUUUUUAGAAUCAUACAUGGUUUGGCACUUUUAUGAGAGUUAAAAAGAGAUGGGUACAUAAAUAUGACAACACGGUUGAGUUUCGUCUGUCUUUCUGUCAUUUUACUCCAUCAGUGGCGUGACGGUGGUGUGGUGUUUUUUUAUCAAAAAUUUUAAAAUAGUUAUUUUGUGUAUUUUAAUUUAAAUUUUAAUUUGUAAUAUACGUAGUAAUAUCGAUAAUAUACAAUGUAGUGGCGUUUGCACCAAGUUUUUUAAGCAAAACUUAACAUUAUGUUUAGCUUAUUUUCUUGCACUAUGCCUUAAUCUAACUUGAAUUUAUAUUUAAAUUAAGCGGUCAAAUUUCCAGGCUAGUGGCCACUUAACCUAUCUUAGACACAAAAAAAUUGUUUUACGAGGAAGAAUUAUUGUUAUUCCUUUGAGAAAGCUAAAAAGUGUAUUAUGAUACCUCUACGUAAGUUCGAUGAUUACUUUUGAUAUCCUAGACGUCGAUCAGUAGGUAUAUUCAUUGAAAACACAGAGACUUUUAAACGACACUGUAAUAUAUAUCCUCGGUUUAAUUGAACAAAAUCUAGAAUAUCAAAAUGAGAGAAACAACAGCAUAACUGCCUUAAAUCAACAACAAUUUUAUAGUAUAUUUGGGUUUCCUGGGAUUAUAGGGAUAGUUGAUGGAACACAAUGUAAGAAAACAUUCACCUGGUGAGAUUGCAUAUGCAUUGAGGGGAUAUAUGCAGAAAUAGAGCUGAAGAAAUGUUUCAGAAUUAUCGUUAUAUGGAAACGCCACUUUCAAUAUGUGUUU